GACGAACGCUGGCGGCGUGCUUAACACAUGCAAGUCGAACGAAGAGCGAUAGAAGCUUGCUUCUAUCAAUCUUAGUGGCGCACGGGUGAGUAACGCGUAAUCAACCUGCCCUUCAGAGGGGGACAACAGUUGGAAACGACUGCUAAUACCGCAUACGAUCUAAUCUCGGCAUCGAGGAUAGAUGAAAGGUGGCCUCUACAUGUAAGCUAUCACUGAAGGAGGGGAUUGCGUCUGAUUAGCUAGUUGGAGGGGUAACGGCCCACCAAGGCGAUGAUCAGUAGCCGGUCUGAGAGGAUGAACGGCCACAUUGGGACUGAGACACGGCCCAGACUCCUACGGGAGGCAGCAGUGGGGAAUCUUCCGCAAUGGACGAAAGUCUGACGGAGCAACGCCGCGUGAGUGAUGACGGCCUUCGGGUUGUAAAGCUCUGUUAAUCGGGACGAAAGGCCUUCUUGCGAAUAGUGAGAAGGAUUGACGGUACCGGAAUAGAAAGCCACGGCUAACUACGUG
rnacentral:rRNA from 1 species